UACGUGGAAGACUAGUGUUAUUCAUCUUUAUUAGGUUUAAAGGGUGCCUAGACGGUUAAUUUAGCUUAUAUUAAAAGUACGUAUUAACUAGAGUUUUAUAGGAGGGGGAUAGAACUUAUGAUGUAGAGAUAAAAUUUGAUAAUAUCAUAGGGACAGGUAACGGCGAAAGCAUUCUUCUAUCUAAAAACUGACGUUGAGGGACGAAGGCCUGGGUAGCCAUAAGG
rnacentral:rRNA from 1 species